rnacentral:misc_RNA from 1 species
GUGAAUCAUCGAAUCUUUGAACGCAAAUUGCACUCUCCGGUUUUCCGGGAGAGUAUGCCUGUUUGAGGGUCAGCCUAAAAAAAAUCGACAUUGUUUCUGUUUUAUGAUGACUUUCGUUUGAGAUGUGUUAUCUUUAAUCUCGGUUUAAUCUACUUAAUAAUUUUUUUUACUAUUCUAAGAAUAUUUCUAAUAUUUUUAUUGUACGUUUAAGGUAUCGAAUUUCUUAUUAGACUUGGCCGUCAUGUCGGAUCUUGUCCAUAAUUUUUUUCGUUAACUGAUCUCAGACAGUUAAGAGUACCC